CUACGGGUUGCACCAGUGAGGAAUUUUGGACAAUGGGGGAAACCCUGAUCCAGGGAUACCGUGUGAGUGAUGAAGGCCCUCGGGUUGUAAAACUCUUUCAGCAAAGAAGAUAAUGACGUUAUUUGCAGAAGAAGCACCGGCAAACUCUGUGCCAGCAGUCGCGGUAAUACAGAGGGUGCAAGCGUUGUUCGGAAUUACUGGGCGUAAAGGAUGCGUAGGCUGUUUGAUAAGUCUGUUGUGAAAUACCGGGGCUCAACCCCGGGGCUGCAUCAGAUACUGUUGAACUAGAGAUCGGGAGAGGUAAAUGGAAUUCCUAGUGGAGAGGUCAAAUUCGUAGAUACUAGGAGGAACACCAGAGGCGAAGGCGAUUUACUGGAACGAAUCUGACGCUGAGGCAUGAAAGCGUGGGGAGCAAACAGGAUUAGAUACCCGCGUAGUC
rnacentral:rRNA from 1 species